AGGCCGGAGUGGGCGGGACGCCGCCGCGCCUGCGCAUUGACGGCUCCGCCCUGCCAUCGAAGCCCCGCCCUGCGCUCCUAACAGGUCCCGCCCCUCUCGUCAUUCCCGCCCUCCAGGCCCCGCCCCGCCGUCCAAGCCCCGCCCCGACUGGCAUCGGAGGGUCAAUCGCCGCUCCCUCGUCCUGCGUUCCCUGAGGGCCUCCGGCGUCCAGGCUGUCGGGCGCCUCCCUUCAGGGCACAGACCCCUGGCAAAGCCCACAUGUACCCUCGGAGAAUGCUUGGAGGAAAACAUGGCAUGUGCUGGUUUCAGUGUUGUGGGGCCCUUCCCCCAGCAUCAGCCUCCUCUUCCAGCGAGGACGCUGGUCUGCAGAUUGGUUUCACCUGGAUGGUGGGUGAGAGGCCGACUGUACCUCGUGACGAUCAAGCUCUUCUCAGGUUCUGUUAAUGCACUGCUCGAGGCAACGUUUUGAGACCCAUCAGCUCCUAUUAGGUUUGUGUCCCCCAGAAUUCGUAUGCAGAAACUGUAACCCCCAAUAUGGCCAUAUUUGGAGAUGGGACUUCUGAAGAAGUAAUUAAGGUUAAAGUCAGUCACAAGGGUGGGGUCCUGAUCCGACAAGACAUGCGUCCGUAAAAUAAGAGACACCAGAGAGCUCCCUCUCCCAGUCAGUCAUGUCGGCACACGUGAGAAGGCAGUGUUGGCAACCCAAGGGAAGAGUCCUGGACAGGCACCAGACAACACCAGCACCUUAAUCUUGGACUACCAAUCUCCAGAAAUAACAGACAUUUUUGUUAGGCCCGCCAGUCUGUGAUAUUGUGAUAACAACCUGAUAUGGUUUGGAUUUGUGUCCCCGCCCAAAUCUUAUGUUGAAUUGUAAUCCCCAAUAUUGGGGGAGGGGCCUGGUGGGAGGUGACUGGCUCAAGGGGGCAGAUUUCCCCCUUGCUGUUCUUGUGAAAAUGAGUGAGCUCUCAGGAGACCUGCUUGUUUAAAAGUGUGGCACCUUUCCCCUUUGCUCCCUUUCUCUCCUGGUCCACCAUGGUAAAAUGUGCUUGCUUCCCUUCUGCCUUCUGCCAUGAUGUAAGUUUCCUGAGGCCUCCACGCCAUGCUUCCUGUACAGCCUGCAGAACUGUGAGUCAAUUAAACCUCAUUUCUUUAUAAA